rnacentral:pre_miRNA from 1 species
CAUAUGCGAUGUUUGCUCAAAAUUUGGUUCGAUAUAGUUCUGAGCAUAUGUUGCAUACAUG